rnacentral:rRNA from 1 species
CGGUGAAUACGUUCCCGGGCUUGUACACACCGCCCGUCAAGCCAUGGAAGCGUGGGGGCGCCCGAAGCCGGCAGCAAUGUCGUUUAAGGCGAACUUAGUAACUGGGGCU